rnacentral:rRNA from 1 species
GAUUAUGGCUCAGGACGAACGCUGGCGGCGUGCUUCAUACAUGCAAGUCGAACGAGAAGCUGACUUCGGUCAGUGGAAAGUGGCGGACGGGUGAGUAAUGUGUAGAGAAUCUGCCCUAGAGAGAGGGACAACAGUUGGAAACGACUGCUAAUACCUCAUAUGCGCGUAGCUGAGAUGCUAUUCGUGAAAACUCCGGUGCUCUAGGAUGAGUCUGCAUCUGAUUAGCUAGUUGGCGGUGUAAUGGACCACCAAGGCGACGAUCAGUAGCUGGCUUGAGAGGAUGAUCAGCCACAAUGGGACUGAGACACCGGCCCAUACUCCUACGGGAGGCAGCAGGUAGGGUAAUUUUGCGCAAGUCGGGGGAAACCCUGACGCAGCAACGCCGCGUGAACGAAUAACGCCCUUCGGGGUGUAAAGUUCUGUCAGUAGGGACGAAACUUGACGGUACCUACAGAGGAAGCAUCGGCUAACUCCGUGCCAGCCGCAGC